rnacentral:lncRNA from 1 species
CAUAGGCCCUCCCAGGGUGGUUGCUAUGCUCUCUACGUCAUUGCUGUGCGCUUGUCUGUAAAGCACACCCAGGGUCGUAAAGCAUAGCGCCACCAGCUAACUUCUGAUUGGCUCCUUGUCACGAGACAGGCAUCUGACUUUCUAGUGACUAACUUCUGAUGGGUUCCUUGUCACGAGACAGGCAUCUGACCUCUACGUGACCAAGGUAGGUUUAUGGCAAGCACGUGUUCGGCUGUUAUGGCUGCCAAAAGGAAGCUGGUUCCUUCAACAUCUGUACCUAGACACCCUCUGAGGGCUCAGAGUGUAUGAGCAGGAUCCUAAAGAAAAUGGCUUCAAGAAAUUAUAUGCCAAAGAUCUCAGAUGGAGACUUAACUCGUCAUCAAUAUGUGAUUGGCACGGAGACAAAGAAGUUACAGGUGUGCACAGGUGAGACAACUGGAUUAAUCCAUUGCUUCAAAACAAACCAUGAACUUUGGUUUGUUGGAAACUAUAGUGACCUUUAUGGGCAGUGAAAGAAUUGGAAGAGUUGCAAGUAUGGCAUUUCCUAAACAAAAAUUCAUUAAAAGUGAAAAAUGAAAACAAAA